UACGGGGGGGGCAAGCGUUGUUCGGAAUUACUGGGCGUAAAGGGUUCGUAGGUGGCCAACUAAGUCAGACGUGAAAUCCCUCGGCUUAACCGGGGAACUGCGUCUGAUACUGGAUGGCUUGAGUUCGGGAGAGGGAUGCGGAAUUCCAGGUGUAGCGGUGAAAUGCGUAGAUAUCUGGAGGAACACCGGUGGCGAAGGCGGCAUCCUGGACCGGCAUUGACGCUGAGGAGCGAAAGCCAGGGGAGCAAACGGG
rnacentral:rRNA from 1 species